rnacentral:rRNA from 1 species
CCUAGUAACGGCGAGCGAAGCGGCAACAGCUCAAAUUUGAAAUCUGGCUACUUUGUAGUCCGAGUUGUAAUUUGUAGAGGAUGCUUUUGGUGAGGUGCCUUCCGAGUUCCCUGGAACGGGACGCCAGAGAGGGUGAGAGCCCCGUACGGUUGGAUACCAAACCUUUGUAUAGCUCCUUCAACGAGUCGAGUAGUUUGGGAAUGCUGCUCUAAAUGGGAGGUAUAUCUCUUCUAAAGCUAAAUAUAGGCUAGAGACCGAUAGCGCACAAGUAGAGUGAUCGAAAGAUGAAAAGCACUUUGAAAAGAGAGUUAAACAGCACGUGAAAUUGUUGAAAGGGAAGCGCCUAUGACCAGACUUGUUUCUUUCAGUUUUGUUAGUUCUCGGACUGAUUUACUCUGUUAGUACAGGCCAGCAUCAGUUUGUUGUCGGGGAGAAAGGCUUAGGGAAUGUGGCUCCUUCGGGAGUGUUAUAGCCCUUUGCAUAAUACCCUUCGGCAGACUGAGGACCGCGCUUCGGCAAGGAUGCUGGCGUAAUGGUCAUCAGCGACCCGUCUUGAAACACGGACCAAGGAGUCAACCUUAUGUGCGAGUGUUUGGGUGUAAAACCCCAGCGCGUAAUGAACGUGAACGUAGGUGAGAGCUUCGGCGCAUCAUCGACCGAUUCUGAUGUUCUCGGAUGGAUUUGAGUAAGAGCACACAGGGUUGGACCCGAAAGAAGGUGAACUAUGCUUGUAUAGGGUGAAGCCAGAGGAAACUCUGGUGGAGGCUCGCAGCGGUUCUGACGUGCAAAUCGAUCGUCAAAUAUGAGCAUGGGGGCGAA